GGGUGUACGUUGAGCGCGCUGGACCCACCCCGAUCCAUCUCGCACCGGGACGUGAAACAGCGCAGCGCCGCGGGUACUGGGCUUCGGCCUGGGAGACAAGGUCCGCGCACCCC
rnacentral:rRNA from 1 species